GGUUUAAUAAGAGUAUUAGAAAGAAGAGAGGAGAGGAGAUGGUGACGGAUGGGAUGAGAAUAUACCUACCGGAGGUGGCGUUGGAGAUCGACGGAGAGGUACUUGUGGCGCAGCGAGUGAAGCAGAAGGGACUUCGCCGGAGUGGGAGGAGGGGCGCGUGUUCCAGCCCAGCGAUGUAGCCGUGGAGAAAAAGAGAGGCGGUCGGAAAGGGGAGAAGGUUGUUUACGGCAGAAUGGGGAGAGGAUAGGGUGGGUGAGAUUCGGAUUGGGGUCGGGGGAAAGGAAGCAGGCAGUGCGGCCGGCGCCAUGGCACUCGGCCUGGCUGCUCGCCGGCGUGGAGGCUGGGAACCGACUCCAGGGUUAAGGCCGAUCACGAGGGGCUACCGGCUUCUCGGACGACUGCUUGGGCUUCUCAACGCCGCGGUAUGGGAAGGCAAAUGCUAUGCUGGCUUCGCCGAUCAAGUACGAACCGGACUCGUGAUGACAAAUCUGGGUUCGAUAUAAGGUGGUCUGGGUCAUAGCCGGACGUCCAAAUUGGUUUAUUAAUAAACAGGAAUUAGAUUUAUAGUUUUUAU
rnacentral:lncRNA from 1 species